UCACUCUGAAUGCUAUUUCGCAGGUCAUUUAAACAUCUUUUAUCUGUCUGAAAAGCCCUUUCAAGCAGAGCACAGCAGGAUGCUGGAACGCUUCCUCGUUCCUGUGUAACAGGCAGACUUAACAGUUUCAGCUCAAUAUUUUCAUGUUUUUUAUUGCCCUUUGCUUUCUCUUUGUUACAAUUGCCUGGCUGAACACCACUGAAAGACUACCUCAGGAGAACAAAAAAGGCUUCAAUUGAAUUAUACAUAAGGCGUUUCAUUGACCUAAACUGGUGACUAGAAUUCCCUGUGCGGCCUUUCCCACAGGCAAUCGGUGAUGUUACGCACAGGGGAUUGUGAUUGCAGGUGGAACAAUAAGCAACAGGAGUAGAUGGAACUUUUCAUGUAGCCUGUACAGAAGCUGACAUUUCUUCACCUCCUCUGUCUUCUCCCACUUGGGCAUUAAAGAUAUAACAAAUAAAAAUUUAAAGCCCCCCUCCUUAGGUUGGUGAGUCAGUGCGUGAAGAUCCUCUUCCCCUGCUUGUUCAGGUGGAACCCAUCUCUUCCCAGCAGCCUUUCCUCCUGGAACAGCAUCCCAUGGUUGAAGAAGCUGAAGUUCUCCUGUCGACACCAUCUGUGCAGCCAUGUAUUCAUCUCCAGGAUGCACAUGUCCUUGACUGUGUCCUUACCCCUUAAUUGGGAGGAUGGAUGAGAACACAACCUGUGGCUCUGACUCCUUCACCCUAGCCCUGAAGUCGCUGCUGAUCUGCUCAGGAUUCUAUCUGGCAGUAUCAUUAAUGCGCAUGUGGAUGAGCAGCAUAGGAUAAUGAUCAGAGAGAUGGAUGAGCAUCGGCAAUCUUUCCGUCAUGUAACGGAUGCGAGCUCCAGGCAUGCAGCAGAUCUCCUGGGACAUCAUUAGAGAGAAGCCCAGCAGUUCUCAUGACUGAAUAGAGGGGUGCAAAGCUGUUUUCUGUGGAUCUCAACAUCUUCUAUGGAAUCCAAGUUUAAUUUAUAAAAAUAAGUCUCCAGGCUAUCUGGGUGUGAAGAUAAUUAGGUUUAUUGUUUUCACUGAGAAAUGUAUUCAUGUUUUUGUUUAAAUCACACUUUUUACUCUGUUUUUCAAAGAAUGAAAUAAUCAAAUGUGGAUGGAUGGAUGGAUGGAUGGGCAAGUCCUGUCCCUUGGGUGCAGAGUGCACUGGGGUAUAGUUUGGCAUGGAGUGGUCUUGUACCACUGUGUACAGAUGGGCAAUUGGAGUAUGAUGGGAGUGAGCUGAGGGGAAAGUGGGACCCACAGAUCAGCUGAUACAGACCCACAGAUGGUUAUAGAUUUGAAUCUAGCUGUGCCCUCUUGGACGUAGUAGAUCCAUGGAUGGCCCCACAAUCUCUUGCUGGCCGGUGUUGGAAAGAUUCCUUCUGCCAGCCCCCUGUGGAGGUUGCUGGCUCACCGUCUGCUGCUGAUUCCCAGGCUUUAAGCCUGUGCUUAAUGCCUACUGUAUGUGGCACAAUGAAGCUGAUAUAAUUAACACUAGUGGGUUUUGGAAGAACUCUAGGCUACAGGUGUCACAGAACUAUGGCUGCUUUGGGCACCGCAGAAGGAAAAAUAGGUUGAUUUUGACUGUUACAGUUGGGGUAGAGGGGACGGUUGCUUUAUACCCCUACCUAUAUUUACAUGCCUUUCCUGAUAUGUUAGUUUUACCCAGCCUCCUCCAGUCCCAAUACAGAGCCAUCCAUAAUACUUAAUUUGCCAUCUACACCCACAACCAAAGCAUGCUGAUCAUAAACAGAGUUCCCUGAAGGAAGCAAUACACC